AGAUAUAUUUGUGCAGAUGUUUUUAGCUGGCUUUGGAGUGCUUAAUUGCUGGCCCAUCUAUGAAGCCAUGUUAUUGAGAAGGGAUAAAGGAAGGAUGCCAUUAAAGAUAACUUUAUUAUCAACCUUCCUAGCAUGGCUUGUUUAUCUGAUAUCCUCUUCAGCCUUUUGAAAACUAGUAUUGUUUUGUAUCUUGAUUCUAGGACAAUGCUCUCCGGGUGGAGAUAGUAUCGUUUUGUGCAAUUCUUGUAUUGUAUCUUCAAGAUCAUACUACAAUACUUGAGUAUCGUCUCUUUUAUAUAUACAUUUUAAAUAAAUUAGGGUCAUUAUAUUUUUUUUCUUAUGUUCUGUUGGAUGUUAUGGAUAAAUAGAUGUUCAUAUUUGAUUUGAUUGAAUUUUGAAACGUACCAUAGGAGCGUUUCAAUUCAACCUUUCUCAAAGCAAUCUAUUUGUAUUCAUAUAAGCAGCGAGCAUGCUAUUAACUAUGUCAGCUGCGUUCAGUUUCAGACUCCAAUUACUAUCAAGUCACCGGGCAGAAAGACGUGGCCAUUCCUUUUAGCAGUGUUUACACCAUUUUAGAGUUUUGGUGUUGGGUUGGAGAUGAUAUCAUGCAUCUCUGCCUCUUUUAACACCUCUUCGACUGAUUUCCUUCUCAGACCCCCUCAUUUGCUUCUCUGGACUCUUUAAUUCAGUCUUUAAGAUUGCAAGGCAGUCUUCUACAGAGUCAGAAGUGCAAACCUUCAUAGAGAAGCUACAAACAAAGAACUAAUUCCAGUAACAGGUGUUCAAUAACUUGUGAAUUAAAUCUUAGAGAGUAAAGAAUGAACUCUCAAAAUGCAUCACAAGAAGUAGAAGCACUUUAAAAAAGCUGAGAAUGCUAACUUGUCUCUCACAACUUCUGAUUCUUUUCCAAACACUUUAUUAACUUAUUUAUUUCUAACGUCUACUCCACUUCUUUAAUUUAAUCAAGAAGUGACUUCUUUUAAGUUAACCCAAACGGCCCAAUAAUCUCUUAGAACGUCUCUCCAAGAAAUCUUGGUUAAAAUUCACUAAUACAUACCAUAAAUAAAAAUAGAGGCUAUGUACAAAACAAUUCAACUCCAAUGAGACCUUCCCCUUAUAUAUAAUUAUAGCCAACCUUUAUUGAUGUAGCAAGAUUUUACAUCAUUUAUUACUAUAUUAAAACAUUAUAUUAUAUUUACACAACUUGAAAUAAUAAUUAUACACUUUUUUAAAAUAUAGCCGAUCAAAAUAGUUAGUACCAUUAAAACACAAUAUUUUACAGGUUCCACAAAUUUUAUAUAAUAUCUUGCGAUCAAAUUUAACUAAUCAGUUACAGACUUAUAGUCAAUACUAUUAUACUAUUGUAGAUGCUAUUUAAUUAAUUAGUUAUAAUCAAUAGUAUUCUAGAUGCUAAAGUCCUGUUUACCAAGUAUUUUUUAACCAACACAAUUGCAGAUCCUCUUAUAAUUACAGUCUAUGAUUUGUUGGAAUUAGGAAUCGACGAUCACUUCAAGAUUUGGAAAUGUUAUACCCGCUCCAAUCUCCAAACGGAUACAAGCCGUCCCGAAUGAGGACUAGAGAUCUCUGCGGAGAUUCGAGAAAUUUGUCUUUUCUAAAAAAAAUUAUAUUAUAAUAUAUGAUCUUUGAUUAAAAUUAUUUUAGUAAGUUGUCAUAAUAUACAAUGUUUUUAGUUAUAUUUUGAGUACCAAUUCGAAUAAUACUCAUUUAUAAUAAAAAUAAAAGAGUAGAUUUAAUAUAAUUUGUUUGUAUUAUAAUAUGAAAUGAUUUAAUCAAUGUGAUGAAAGAGAUUAUUUAAAUUUUCAUAUAUAUAUAUAUAUAUAUAUAUAUAUAUAUAUAUUUAUCAUUAAUAUUUUGUAUAAUAUAAUAUACAUAAAUAUAUUCAUAUUAUAUAUGAAAAUCGGGAAAUUUCAAGACGGUUCGCGACCAGAAAAUAUUAAUUUUUGAAUCCGUCCCGAUCUCCGAAUUCUGGUAUAUAAUUUUUUUCCAAUCUCUAUCCCGUACUCGAGAGAAUCUCUUAUUUAUGAUUUCGUGCCGAACGGCCCGAACCUGAUAAACGAAAAAAUAGGUGGUCUUUUCUGGAAUCGAGCGGGACAGACUGGAUCGGGUCGGUCAGAUGGGACAGGGACACGUCCUCAGUUGACAUCAGGCUUAAAACUAGGGGUGUAAACAAACCAAACUGUUGGUGAGCUACUCGAGCUCGGCUCGUAAAAUAUUCGGAUUUGAUUCGGUAGUAAUCAAGCCGAGCUCGAGAUCGAGCUAUUUGGAUGUUUUACCGAGCUGAGCUCGAGCUUCAAAUUACUCGGCUCCUAAGGUUCGCGAGCCUUAUCGAGCCUCUACUAUUAUUUAAUCUUUUUUAUUAUAAAUAUAUUUUUACAAAUAUAUUUAAUAUUUUAUUUAUAAAUCAUAUAUUUAAUCGAAUCGAACUCGAGCCAAACCGAUCAUAUUUCGAGACGCUAUCAUUUUUUUGGUAGCUGAUUCCAUUCUGGCAUUUAUGUGGACAACACGGCAAGCAUUUCGCAUCUCGCCCAUCCGUCGCCAGGUAUUUCCCGAGAACCUGACAGCGGAUGAGAGUGAAUAUCCAGCUCUGGACGUGUUUGUAUGCACUGCUGAUCCAUUCAGGGAGCCACCAAUAGGUGUGGUGAACACCGUCUUGUCCCUGAUGGCUUACGAUUAUCCGAAGGAGAAAUUGUCAGUUUAUGUAUCGGAUGAUGGAGGAUCACAGCUCACACUGUUUGCUCUGAGGGAAGCUGCUGAGUUUGCUAAACAUUGGCUUCCGUACUGCAAGAAAGAGAACAUACUUGAUAGGUCGCCCGAAGCAUAUUUUACAUCACAGACUAAUUUUGGUUUCCCAGAGACCGGUCCUGCUGCUACAAAACAUGAUCAAAUUAAGGUACUUCUCAGCUACCCAUCUCAACAAUUUUUAACUUUUUUUGAAAUUUAUUUAUGAUGACUCACGGAUUGUUGAAGGUUAUGUACGAAAGGAUGAAAUUGAGGAUAAAUGAAGUUGUCGAAAGAGGGAGCAUCCAUGGAUAUGUGACAGAUGAAGAAGUGCGCGGAACUUUUGCUGUAUGGCAUAAUACACCUGGUUUCACUCCCAAAAAUCAUCCUACUAUUAUUCAGGUUCAUUCUUAGUCUGUUUUCUAAUUAAUAAUUUGAAUUUUAAAUUUGUACAGAAUCAUCUAAUAACUGAGCUAGAAUUUUUCAAUUAAAGACAGGAAAAAAGAAUAAUCGGAUUUACUAGGCUACAACGAAUCUAGCUUUUCUGAGUAGUUUCCUGAAGGCUAUCAAAUUAUUGAACUUGAAUCUCUUAUCUUUCAUAGUUAUUGUUAUUAGUACUUACUCCGUGCUGAAUAAACCUGUAGCAAAGUUUGAUCCCAACCCCGAUCCGUAGUAAAUCAGAAUAUAUUGCUUCAAUAUGGAAAACAGGAUGAGUAAUAGAUACUAGCAUAUUUAUAACUAUAAAAAUUAGUACCAAUUAUAGAACUAAUGAUGAGGAUCUUGCAGAUAAUCAUGGAGAGCGCCACUGAAAAGGAUGAGUCCGGUAACAGAAUGCCCAAUCUUGUGUAUGUGUCCAGAGAAAAGAAGAAGACUACACCCCACAACUACAAGGCUGGUGCGCUCAACGUUCUGGUAAUAAUGUUUAUAAUUGUGUUGAUCAUACACAUAUAUAGGUAAACAGAAAGUUAAUUUUCAUUUCUUGUUUAUUUCACAUAUUUAACAUAUUAAUGCAUAAUAAAGCUUCGAGUAUCAGCAACCAUGACAAAUGCACCGCUGGUGUUGACGCAAGACUGUGACAUGUUUUCAAAUGAUCCUAAGACACCACUCCGUGCACUCUGCUACUUUAUGGACCCUGGAAUGGACCCGAACUUGGCGUUGGUCCAGUUCCCUCAAAUUUUCCAUGGGAUUAACAAGGAUGAUAUAUAUAAUGCUGAACUUAAAGAAAUGCUUGUCAAUAAUAAUUUGGGAAUGGAUGGUUUAUUAGGACCACCUUAUAUAGGUUCUGGGGGGUUUUUUCGUCGACAAGCUUUGUUUGGAACUCCAGUAUCACAUAUACCUCCCCAGCCUUCAGAAAUUAGUCCUCAUCAUGUUGUUAACAAGUCAAUGCAGUCCGCAGAGAUUUUGGCUCUGGCACACCAUGUUGGAGGCUGUAACUUUGAGGUUCAAACCGAGUGGGGAUCAGAGGUCAGACACUUUGGUACAUUUAUUAAUAAAAUUCACAUAUUACUUCGAACCAAAAUAUUAAAUAUUUAUUCUCUAAUUGUCGCAGAUGGGAUUUAGGUAUGGCUCUUUAGUGGAGGAUUUUAACACAGGCUACAGAAUGCAAUGCCAAGGAUGGAGAUCUGUUCUCUGCAAUCCAAUAAGACCAGCAUUCUUAGGAAGUUCACCAAUAACACUCCAUGACAUGCUCAAUCAAUGCAAAAGGUGGUCCAUGGGUCUUCUUGAUAUCACUUUUUCCAGAUAUAACCCUCUUUUCUUUGGUGUGCGGUUCAUGAACCCUCUCCAAGCCUUCUGCUUUGGACACUAUGCGAUUUGGCCCAUUUGGUCGAUUCCUCUUAUUAUCUAUUCCUUCUUGCCUCAGCUCGCUCUAAUCAAUUCUUCACAUGCUAUUUUCCCAAAGGUAAGCUAAAAACUGCACUACUACAGGGUCGAUCAAGUUCAAAUUUUGUAACGUGAAGAGUUGGUACACAGUAUAAAUAGGUAUUCAUAGUAGUUUAAUUAUUUUUGCUCUAAUUAUGAUGUCAGGUGACAGAUCCUUGGCUGUUUUUCUUGUAUGUGUUUCUUUUCCUUGGUUCAUAUGUGCAACAUCUUCUCGAAUAUGUUACAUUUGGAUCUCCAGCCAAAAGGUGGUGGAACAGUCAGAGAGUGUGGAUGAUGAGAGCACUUUCAAGCUUUCCAUUUGCAUUGAUUGAAUAUAUACUAGAAUGCUGGGGAGUAUCAUCGUUUGGGUUCAAUGUGACUAGCAAGGUACUUGAUAGUGAACAAAGCAAACGUAACGCAGAAUGUAUGUUUGAAUUCGGAGUGCCUUCUCCACUUUUUGUUCCAAUAAAUAUGGCGGCAAUGAUCAACUUGUGGGCGUUUUUACAUGGGAUAAAACAAGUGAUUAAGAGGAAUGAAAGCUUUGAAGAUAUAUUUGUGCAGAUGUUUUUAGCUGGCUUUGGAGUGCUUAAUUGCUGGCCCAUCUAUGAAGCCAUGUUAUUGAGAAGGGAUAAAGGAAGGAUGCCAUUAAAGAUAACUUUAUUAUCAACCUUCCUAGCAUGGCUUGUUUAUCUGAUAUCCUCUUCAGCCUUUUGAAAACUAGUAUUGUUUUGUAUCUUGAUUCUAGGACAAUGCUCUCCGGGUGGAGAUAGUAUCGUUUUGUGCAAUUCUUGUAUUGUAUCUUCAAGAUCAUACUACAAUACUUGAGUAUCGUCUCUUUUAUAUAUACAUUUUAAAUAAAUUAGGGUCAUUAUAUUUUUUUUCUUAUGUUCUGUUGGAUGUUAUGGAUAAAUAGAUGUUCAUAUUUGAUUUGAUUGAAUUUUGAAACGUACCAUAGGAGCGUUUCAAUUCAACCUUUCUCAAAGCAAUCUAUUUGUAUUCAUAUAAGCAGCGAGCAUGCUAUUAACUAUGUCAGCUGCGUUCAGUUUCAGACUCCAAUUACUAUCAAGUCACCGGGCAGAAAGACGUGGCCAUUCCUUUUAGCAGUGUUUACACCAUUUUAGAGUUUUGGUGUUGGGUUGGAGAUGAUAUCAUGCAUCUCUGCCUCUUUUAACACCUCUUCGACUGAUUUCCUUCUCAGACCCCCUCAUUUGCUUCUCUGGACUCUUUAAUUCAGUCUUUAAGAUUGCAAGGCAGUCUUCUACAGAGUCAGAAGUGCAAACCUUCAUAGAGAAGCUACAAACAAAGAACUAAUUCCAGUAACAGGUGUUCAAUAACUUGUGAAUUAAAUCUUAGAGAGUAAAGAAUGAACUCUCAAAAUGCAUCACAAGAAGUAGAAGCACUUUAAAAAAGCUGAGAAUGCUAACUUGUCUCUCACAACUUCUGAUUCUUUUCCAAACACUUUAUUAACUUAUUUAUUUCUAACGUCUACUCCACUUCUUUAAUUUAAUCAAGAAGUGACUUCUUUUAAGUUAACCCAAACGGCCCAAUAAUCUCUUAGAACGUCUCUCCAAGAAAUCUUGGUUAAAAUUCACUAAUACAUACCAUAAAUAAAAAUAGAGGCUAUGUACAAAACAAUUCAACUCCAAUGAGACCUUCCCCUUAUAUAUAAUUAUAGCCAACCUUUAUUGAUGUAGCAAGAUUUUACAUCAUUUAUUACUAUAUUAAAACAUUAUAUUAUAUUUACACAACUUGAAAUAAUAAUUAUACACUUUUUUAAAAUAUAGCCGAUCAAAAUAGUUAGUACCAUUAAAACACAAUAUUUUACAGGUUCCACAAAUUUUAUAUAAUAUCUUGCGAUCAAAUUUAACUAAUCAGUUACAGACUUAUAGUCAAUACUAUUAUACUAUUGUAGAUGCUAUUUAAUUAAUUAGUUAUAAUCAAUAGUAUUCUAGAUGCUAAAGUCCUGUUUACCAAGUAUUUUUUAACCAACACAAUUGCAGAUCCUCUUAUAAUUACAGUCUAUGAUUUGUUGGAAUUAGGAAUCGACGAUCACUUCAAGAUUUGGAAAUGUUAUACCCGCUCCAAUCUCCAAACGGAUACAAGCCGUCCCGAAUGAGGACUAGAGAUCUCUGCGGAGAUUCGAGAAAUUUGUCUUUUCUAAAAAAAAUUAUAUUAUAAUAUAUGAUCUUUGAUUAAAAUUAUUUUAGUAAGUUGUCAUAAUAUACAAUGUUUUUAGUUAUAUUUUGAGUACCAAUUCGAAUAAUACUCAUUUAUAAUAAAAAUAAAAGAGUAGAUUUAAUAUAAUUUGUUUGUAUUAUAAUAUGAAAUGAUUUAAUCAAUGUGAUGAAAGAGAUUAUUUAAAUUUUCAUAUAUAUAUAUAUAUAUAUAUAUAUAUAUAUAUAUUUAUCAUUAAUAUUUUGUAUAAUAUAAUAUACAUAAAUAUAUUCAUAUUAUAUAUGAAAAUCGGGAAAUUUCAAGACGGUUCGCGACCAGAAAAUAUUAAUUUUUGAAUCCGUCCCGAUCUCCGAAUUCUGGUAUAUAAUUUUUUUCCAAUCUCUAUCCCGUACUCGAGAGAAUCUCUUAUUUAUGAUUUCGUGCCGAACGGCCCGAACCUGAUAAACGAAAAAAUAGGUGGUCUUUUCUGGAAUCGAGCGGGACAGACUGGAUCGGGUCGGUCAGAUGGGACAGGGACACGUCCUCAGUUGACAUCAGGCUUAAAACUAGGGGUGUAAACAAACCAAACUGUUGGUGAGCUACUCGAGCUCGGCUCGUAAAAUAUUCGGAUUUGAUUCGGUAGUAAUCAAGCCGAGCUCGAGAUCGAGCUAUUUGGAUGUUUUACCGAGCUGAGCUCGAGCUUCAAAUUACUCGGCUCCUAAGGUUCGCGAGCCUUAUCGAGCCUCUACUAUUAUUUAAUCUUUUUUAUUAUAAAUAUAUUUUUACAAAUAUAUUUAAUAUUUUAUUUAUAAAUCAUAUAUUUAAUCGAAUCGAACUCGAGCCAAACCGAUCAUAUUUCGAGUUUUUGUCAAUAUUUAGUGUCUCGAUUCGAGAUUCCGAGCUGAACUCGAGCCUAUCAAACUGUUUACGAGCCGAGUUUCGAACUUGAAAUUAAAGCCUCGGUCGAACUCGAACUCGAGCUCGAGCCCCGAACUUUUCAAUUGAGUUCGAGCCGAGCCUGACAGUGUUCUACUUGUCUCGGCUUGAUUACACCCCUACUCAGAACUCAGAAGAAAGCCAGUAUAAUAUGAUCGCCCACCACGUUUUUUUUCCCUGUCAUCAAUUGCUAGAGCUCAGUGCACCUGAAGCUCAACCAUAUAUGACCAUAUCAUAUUAAUGACUGUUGCAAUCAACCAUUUGUGAUCUUUGUCUGUACAGGGACAGCACUUGGAAAUAAUAAAUCCUCUUUUUCUUUUCUUUGUUUUCCUUCUUUUCCAAAUCAUAUAAAUCGUUUUUAUUAUCACUAACACAAUCAAAACAGACUGCUGCAAUAUCACAAUGUAAUAGUUGAACACCAGUAGCAAUAGCAACUACAAUUGUGUUAAAUUGAAGUAGGCCGAGGUCCUUACAUUCCCUAUAGGCAGACUAUUUCCGCCAACAUAAAAAGUCAAACUUAAUCAGAGAGAUCCAGAAUUCAAAUUUUAUUUUGUCGUAUCAGUAACAACUAGGGAGGUGUUUGGUUCAUGGUUAAUGAGCCCGGUUAACGGGAAUCGGAACCUAAGAGGGAGCAUCCAUGGAUAUGUGACAGAUGAAGAAGUGCGCGGAACUUUUGCUGUAUGGCAUAAUACACCUGGUUUCACUCCCAAAAAUCAUCCUACUAUUAUUCAGGUUCAUUCUUAGUCUGUUUUCUAAUUAAUAAUUUGAAUUUUAAAUUUGUACAGAAUCAUCUAAUAACUGAGCUAGAAUUUUUCAAUUAAAGACAGGAAAAAAGAAUAAUCGGAUUUACUAGGCUACAACGAAUCUAGCUUUUCUGAGUAGUUUCCUGAAGGCUAUCAAAUUAUUGAACUUGAAUCUCUUAUCUUUCAUAGUUAUUGUUAUUAGUACUUACUCCGUGCUGAAUAAACCUGUAGCAAAGUUUGAUCCCAACCCCGAUCCGUAGUAAAUCAGAAUAUAUUGCUUCAAUAUGGAAAACAGGAUGAGUAAUAGAUACUAGCAUAUUUAUAACUAUAAAAAUUAGUACCAAUUAUAGAACUAAUGAUGAGGAUCUUGCAGAUAAUCAUGGAGAGCGCCACUGAAAAGGAUGAGUCCGGUAACAGAAUGCCCAAUCUUGUGUAUGUGUCCAGAGAAAAGAAGAAGACUACACCCCACAACUACAAGGCUGGUGCGCUCAACGUUCUGGUAAUAAUGUUUAUAAUUGUGUUGAUCAUACACAUAUAUAGGUAAACAGAAAGUUAAUUUUCAUUUCUUGUUUAUUUCACAUAUUUAACAUAUUAAUGCAUAAUAAAGCUUCGAGUAUCAGCAACCAUGACAAAUGCACCGCUGGUGUUGACGCAAGACUGUGACAUGUUUUCAAAUGAUCCUAAGACACCACUCCGUGCACUCUGCUACUUUAUGGACCCUGGAAUGGACCCGAACUUGGCGUUGGUCCAGUUCCCUCAAAUUUUCCAUGGGAUUAACAAGGAUGAUAUAUAUAAUGCUGAACUUAAAGAAAUGCUUGUCAAUAAUAAUUUGGGAAUGGAUGGUUUAUUAGGACCACCUUAUAUAGGUUCUGGGGGGUUUUUUCGUCGACAAGCUUUGUUUGGAACUCCAGUAUCACAUAUACCUCCCCAGCCUUCAGAAAUUAGUCCUCAUCAUGUUGUUAACAAGUCAAUGCAGUCCGCAGAGAUUUUGGCUCUGGCACACCAUGUUGGAGGCUGUAACUUUGAGGUUCAAACCGAGUGGGGAUCAGAGGUCAGACACUUUGGUACAUUUAUUAAUAAAAUUCACAUAUUACUUCGAACCAAAAUAUUAAAUAUUUAUUCUCUAAUUGUCGCAGAUGGGAUUUAGGUAUGGCUCUUUAGUGGAGGAUUUUAACACAGGCUACAGAAUGCAAUGCCAAGGAUGGAGAUCUGUUCUCUGCAAUCCAAUAAGACCAGCAUUCUUAGGAAGUUCACCAAUAACACUCCAUGACAUGCUCAAUCAAUGCAAAAGGUGGUCCAUGGGUCUUCUUGAUAUCACUUUUUCCAGAUAUAACCCUCUUUUCUUUGGUGUGCGGUUCAUGAACCCUCUCCAAGCCUUCUGCUUUGGACACUAUGCGAUUUGGCCCAUUUGGUCGAUUCCUCUUAUUAUCUAUUCCUUCUUGCCUCAGCUCGCUCUAAUCAAUUCUUCACAUGCUAUUUUCCCAAAGGUAAGCUAAAAACUGCACUACUACAGGGUCGAUCAAGUUCAAAUUUUGUAACGUGAAGAGUUGGUACACAGUAUAAAUAGGUAUUCAUAGUAGUUUAAUUAUUUUUGCUCUAAUUAUGAUGUCAGGUGACAGAUCCUUGGCUGUUUUUCUUGUAUGUGUUUCUUUUCCUUGGUUCAUAUGUGCAACAUCUUCUCGAAUAUGUUACAUUUGGAUCUCCAGCCAAAAGGUGGUGGAACAGUCAGAGAGUGUGGAUGAUGAGAGCACUUUCAAGCUUUCCAUUUGCAUUGAUUGAAUAUAUACUAGAAUGCUGGGGAGUAUCAUCGUUUGGGUUCAAUGUGACUAGCAAGGUACUUGAUAGUGAACAAAGCAAACGUAACGCAGAAUGUAUGUUUGAAUUCGGAGUGCCUUCUCCACUUUUUGUUCCAAUAAAUAUGGCGGCAAUGAUCAACUUGUGGGCGUUUUUACAUGGGAUAAAACAAGUGAUUAAGAGGAAUGAAAGCUUUGAAGAUAUAUUUGUGCAGAUGUUUUUAGCUGGCUUUGGAGUGCUUAAUUGCUGGCCCAUCUAUGAAGCCAUGUUAUUGAGAAGGGAUAAAGGAAGGAUGCCAUUAAAGAUAACUUUAUUAUCAACCUUCCUAGCAUGGCUUGUUUAUCUGAUAUCCUCUUCAGCCUUUUGAAAACUAGUAUUGUUUUGUAUCUUGAUUCUAGGACAAUGCUCUCCGGGUGGAGAUAGUAUCGUUUUGUGCAAUUCUUGUAUUGUAUCUUCAAGAUCAUACUACAAUACUUGAGUAUCGUCUCUUUUAUAUAUACAUUUUAAAUAAAUUAGGGUCAUUAUAUUUUUUUUCUUAUGUUCUGUUGGAUGUUAUGGAUAAAUAGAUGUUCAUAUUUGAUUUGAUUGAAUUUUGAAACGUACCAUAGGAGCGUUUCAAUUCAACCUUUCUCAAAGCAAUCUAUUUGUAUUCAUAUAAGCAGCGAGCAUGCUAUUAACUAUGUCAGCUGCGUUCAGUUUCAGACUCCAAUUACUAUCAAGUCACCGGGCAGAAAGACGUGGCCAUUCCUUUUAGCAGUGUUUACACCAUUUUAGAGUUUUGGUGUUGGGUUGGAGAUGAUAUCAUGCAUCUCUGCCUCUUUUAACACCUCUUCGACUGAUUUCCUUCUCAGACCCCCUCAUUUGCUUCUCUGGACUCUUUAAUUCAGUCUUUAAGAUUGCAAGGCAGUCUUCUACAGAGUCAGAAGUGCAAACCUUCAUAGAGAAGCUACAAACAAAGAACUAAUUCCAGUAACAGGUGUUCAAUAACUUGUGAAUUAAAUCUUAGAGAGUAAAGAAUGAACUCUCAAAAUGCAUCACAAGAAGUAGAAGCACUUUAAAAAAGCUGAGAAUGCUAACUUGUCUCUCACAACUUCUGAUUCUUUUCCAAACACUUUAUUAACUUAUUUAUUUCUAACGUCUACUCCACUUCUUUAAUUUAAUCAAGAAGUGACUUCUUUUAAGUUAACCCAAACGGCCCAAUAAUCUCUUAGAACGUCUCUCCAAGAAAUCUUGGUUAAAAUUCACUAAUACAUACCAUAAAUAAAAAUAGAGGCUAUGUACAAAACAAUUCAACUCCAAUGAGACCUUCCCCUUAUAUAUAAUUAUAGCCAACCUUUAUUGAUGUAGCAAGAUUUUACAUCAUUUAUUACUAUAUUAAAACAUUAUAUUAUAUUUACACAACUUGAAAUAAUAAUUAUACACUUUUUUAAAAUAUAGCCGAUCAAAAUAGUUAGUACCAUUAAAACACAAUAUUUUACAGGUUCCACAAAUUUUAUAUAAUAUCUUGCGAUCAAAUUUAACUAAUCAGUUACAGACUUAUAGUCAAUACUAUUAUACUAUUGUAGAUGCUAUUUAAUUAAUUAGUUAUAAUCAAUAGUAUUCUAGAUGCUAAAGUCCUGUUUACCAAGUAUUUUUUAACCAACACAAUUGCAGAUCCUCUUAUAAUUACAGUCUAUGAUUUGUUGGAAUUAGGAAUCGACGAUCACUUCAAGAUUUGGAAAUGUUAUACCCGCUCCAAUCUCCAAACGGAUACAAGCCGUCCCGAAUGAGGACUAGAGAUCUCUGCGGAGAUUCGAGAAAUUUGUCUUUUCUAAAAAAAAUUAUAUUAUAAUAUAUGAUCUUUGAUUAAAAUUAUUUUAGUAAGUUGUCAUAAUAUACAAUGUUUUUAGUUAUAUUUUGAGUACCAAUUCGAAUAAUACUCAUUUAUAAUAAAAAUAAAAGAGUAGAUUUAAUAUAAUUUGUUUGUAUUAUAAUAUGAAAUGAUUUAAUCAAUGUGAUGAAAGAGAUUAUUUAAAUUUUCAUAUAUAUAUAUAUAUAUAUAUAUAUAUAUAUAUAUUUAUCAUUAAUAUUUUGUAUAAUAUAAUAUACAUAAAUAUAUUCAUAUUAUAUAUGAAAAUCGGGAAAUUUCAAGACGGUUCGCGACCAGAAAAUAUUAAUUUUUGAAUCCGUCCCGAUCUCCGAAUUCUGGUAUAUAAUUUUUUUCCAAUCUCUAUCCCGUACUCGAGAGAAUCUCUUAUUUAUGAUUUCGUGCCGAACGGCCCGAACCUGAUAAACGAAAAAAUAGGUGGUCUUUUCUGGAAUCGAGCGGGACAGACUGGAUCGGGUCGGUCAGAUGGGACAGGGACACGUCCUCAGUUGACAUCAGGCUUAAAACUAGGGGUGUAAACAAACCAAACUGUUGGUGAGCUACUCGAGCUCGGCUCGUAAAAUAUUCGGAUUUGAUUCGGUAGUAAUCAAGCCGAGCUCGAGAUCGAGCUAUUUGGAUGUUUUACCGAGCUGAGCUCGAGCUUCAAAUUACUCGGCUCCUAAGGUUCGCGAGCCUUAUCGAGCCUCUACUAUUAUUUAAUCUUUUUUAUUAUAAAUAUAUUUUUACAAAUAUAUUUAAUAUUUUAUUUAUAAAUCAUAUAUUUAAUCGAAUCGAACUCGAGCCAAACCGAUCAUAUUUCGAGUUUUUGUCAAUAUUUAGUGUCUCGAUUCGAGAUUCCGAGCUGAACUCGAGCCUAUCAAACUGUUUACGAGCCGAGUUUCGAACUUGAAAUUAAAGCCUCGGUCGAACUCGAACUCGAGCUCGAGCCCCGAACUUUUCAAUUGAGUUCGAGCCGAGCCUGACAGUGUUCUACUUGUCUCGGCUUGAUUACACCCCUACUCAGAACUCAGAAGAAAGCCAGUAUAAUAUGAUCGCCCACCACGUUUUUUUUCCCUGUCAUCAAUUGCUAGAGCUCAGUGCACCUGAAGCUCAACCAUAUAUGACCAUAUCAUAUUAAUGACUGUUGCAAUCAACCAUUUGUGAUCUUUGUCUGUACAGGGACAGCACUUGGAAAUAAUAAAUCCUCUUUUUCUUUUCUUUGUUUUCCUUCUUUUCCAAAUCAUAUAAAUCGUUUUUAUUAUCACUAACACAAUCAAAACAGACUGCUGCAAUAUCACAAUGUAAUAGUUGAACACCAGUAGCAAUAGCAACUACAAUUGUGUUAAAUUGAAGUAGGCCGAGGUCCUUACAUUCCCUAUAGGCAGACUAUUUCCGCCAACAUAAAAAGUCAAACUUAAUCAGAGAGAUCCAGAAUUCAAAUUUUAUUUUGUCGUAUCAGUAACAACUAGGGAGGUGUUUGGUUCAUGGUUAAUGAGCCCGGUUAACGGGAAUCGGAACCUUAAUCCCAUAACAAGUGUUUGGAUUAGUUAUUUGAUGCUAUGGAAUGAGAACCUCAAUCUUUUAAGGUGGUUAAAUCAUACCCUUCCCACCCCUUGGGGUUACCAUACCAUUCCCAUUCCCGAUUCCUAUUCCCAACCUCAAUCCAAACGCCCUAAGAACUUGAUAUCGACAAUUAUGUUCACCUAAAUCAGUUAUAUCUAAACUCCGCGCCUCAGCCUCAUGUCGAGUGGGCCUAUUGGAUCCCUUGCUAACGUAGUACCACCUUCUAGCUAUUUACUUCAUUUGGUCCUGCAAAUCCAAAUAUAGUUGAAAGCAAUAAAUUGGAUAUGAACAAUUUCUCAGUACUGGAGAUCAGAUUAUAGGUUUUGCUCUUGCGUACCAUUGUACAUAACUAAUAAGCUUGAUUAAACUGUGGUGAAUUGAAUUGAGAUUUUAAAAGAUAUUUUUUUUUUCAUUUGUGAAAUCUUGGAUAUUCAACUUUGAUUUUAAAAAAUUGUAACAGAAUCUUGAGGUAUUCAAUUAAGAUUUUAAAAUAUACUAUAAAAUCUGGUGAUAUUCAAUAAAGAUUUUAAAUUAUGCUUAAAAAUCCAAUAGUAUUCGAUUGUGAUUAUUUAAACUUCAUUAAAAUCUGAUGAAUAUUAAAUGAUUUUUUUGGAUUUCAUCGAAUGAUGGAUUUUGUGAGAUUGUUCAGUGUAUUUUAAUUAUUUGAUAUCCCACCAAAAUCCACGAGAUAUUAAAGCAUUGUGCUUAAAUCUUAAAGAUUCGACAACAUUUUAUCAAAAAUCCGCAUCAGAUACAACCCACAAAAAUUCAUAGACUAUAUAAAUUCAUUAAAAUACCAGUUGAACACGACCUCUAAUCCUUGUUUAGAACCAUUACUAGCUGCAAGUCUGCAGCUCAAAGCGAGCCACUAAACUCAGAUGAGCAAACAAGGCAUUUCCAUGGAGAAGGUGCGGUCCAGUGCUGGGCUUCUGCAUACGAAGUCACCCUUGCGUCGCACUUGGUUCAACCGUGUGUUUGCAGUCACAUACCUCAUACCGAUAUGUGCACUGAUGUAUCAUCACUGCCAUAACAUUAUUACUAGUACUGAUCAACUUACCAAGAGAAACACUAUAAUUUUUUUGGUAGCUGAUUCCAUUCUGGCCUUUAUGUGGAUAACUCGGCAGGCAUUUCGCAUCUCGCCCAUCCGUCGCCAGGUAUUUCCCGAGAACCUGACAGAGGAUGAGAGAGAAUAUCCAGCUCUGGACGUGUUUGUAUGCACUGCUGAUCCGUACAAGGAGCCACCAAUAGGCGUGGUGAACACCGUGUUGUCCCUGAUGGCUUAUGAUUAUCCGAGGGAGAAAUUGUCUGUCUAUGUAUCGGAUGAUGGAGGAUCACAGCUCACACUGUUUGCUCUGAUGGAAGCUGCUGAGUUUGCUAAACAUUGGCUCCCGUACUGCAAGAAACACGACAUACUUGACAGGUCACCCGAGGCCUAUUUUACAUUACAGACUAAUUUUGGUUUCCCAGAGACCGGUGCUGCUGCAAAAUAUGAUCAAAUUAAGGUACUUCUAAGCCAACCAUCUAAACUUUUUUUUUUUUGGAAAUUUAUCAAUGCUGACUCAUGGAUUGUUGAAGGUUAUGUACGAAAGGAUGAAAUUGAGGAUAAAUGANAUGAACCCUCUCCAAGCCUUCUGCUUUGGACACUAUGCGAUUUGGCCCAUUUGGUCGAUUCCUCUUAUUAUCUAUUCCUUCUUGCCUCAGCUCGCUCUAAUCAAUUCUUCACAUGCUAUUUUCCCAAAGGUAAGCUAAAAACUGCACUACUACAGGGUCGAUCAAGUUCAAAUUUUGUAACGUGAAGAGUUGGUACACAGUAUAAAUAGGUAUUCAUAGUAGUUUAAUUAUUUUUGCUCUAAUUAUGAUGUCAGGUGACAGAUCCUUGGCUGUUUUUCUUGUAUGUGUUUCUUUUCCUUGGUUCAUAUGUGCAACAUCUUCUCGAAUAUGUUACAUUUGGAUCUCCAGCCAAAAGGUGGUGGAACAGUCAGAGAGUGUGGAUGAUGAGAGCACUUUCAAGCUUUCCAUUUGCAUUGAUUGAAUAUAUACUAGAAUGCUGGGGAGUAUCAUCGUUUGGGUUCAAUGUGACUAGCAAGGUACUUGAUAGUGAACAAAGCAAACGUAACGCAGAAUGUAUGUUUGAAUUCGGAGUGCCUUCUCCACUUUUUGUUCCAAUAAAUAUGGCGGCAAUGAUCAACUUGUGGGCGUUUUUACAUGGGAUAAAACAAGUGAUUAAGAGGAAUGAAAGCUUUGAAGAUAUAUUUGUGCAGAUGUUUUUAGCUGGCUUUGGAGUGCUUAAUUGCUGGCCCAUCUAUGAAGCCAUGUUAUUGAGAAGGGAUAAAGGAAGGAUGCCAUUAAAGAUAACUUUAUUAUCAACCUUCCUAGCAUGGCUUGUUUAUCUGAUAUCCUCUUCAGCCUUUUGAAAACUAGUAUUGUUUU
rnacentral:lncRNA from 1 species